GAUGAACGCUGGCGGCGUGCUUAACACAUGCAAGUCGAACGAAGCACUUUAUUUGAUUUCCUUCGGGACUGAUUAUUUUGUGACUGAGUGGCGGACGGGUGAGUAACGCGUGGGUAACCUGCCUUGUACAGGGGGAUAACAGUUGGAAACGGCUGCUAAUACCGCAUAAGCGCACAGCAUCGCAUGAUGCAGUGUGAAAAACUCCGGUGGUAUAAGAUGGACCCGCGUUGGAUUAGCUAGUUGGUGAGGUAACGGCCCACCAAGGCGACGAUCCAUAGCCGAGCAGAGAGGGUGACCGGCCACAUUGGGACUGAGCCACGGUCCAAACUCCUACGGGAGGCAGCAGUGGGGAAUAUUGCACAAUGGGCGAAAGCAUGAUGCAGCGACGCCGCGUGAGCGAAGAAGUAUUUCGGUAUGUAAAGCUCUAUCAGCAGGGAAGAUAAUGACGGUACCUGACUAAGAAGCACCGGCUAAAUACGUG
rnacentral:rRNA from 1 species